GUGGGGAAUAUUGGACAAUGGGCGAAAGCCUGAUCCAGCCAUGCCGCGUGUGUGAAGAAGGUCUUCGGAUUGUAAAGCACUUUAAGUUGGGAGGAAGGGCAGUAAGUUAAUACCUUGCUGUUUUGACGUUACCGACAGAAUAAGCACCGGCUAACUUCGUGCCAGCAGCCGCGGUAAUACGAAGGGUGCAAGCGUUAAUCGGAAUUACUGGGCGUAAAGCGCGCGUAGGUGGUUUUGUAAGUUGGAGGUGAAAUCCCCGGGCUCAACCUGGGAACUGCCUCCAAAACUGCAUGACUAGAGUACGGUAGAGGGUAGUGGAAUUUCCUGUGUAGCGGUGAAAUGCGUAGAUAUAGGAAGGAACACCAGUGGCGAAGGCGACUACCUGGACUGAUACUGACACUGAGGUGCGAAAGUGUGGGGAGCAAACAGGAUUAGAAACCCCAGUAGUCC
rnacentral:rRNA from 1 species